rnacentral:rRNA from 1 species
CAUGGCUCAGGACGAACGCUGGCGGCGUGCUUAACACAUGCAAGUCGAACGGUGAAGGGAUCAGCUUGCUGGUUCUGGAUGAGUGGCGAACGGGUGAGUAACACGUGAGUAACCUGCCCCCUUCUUCUGGAUAACCGCAUGAAAGUGUGGCUAAUACGGGAUAUUCUGCGCCUGCUGCAUGGUGGGUGUGGGAAAGAUAUUGUUUCGGUGGGGGAUGGGCUCGCGGCCUAUCAGCUUGUUGGUGGGGUGAUGGCCUACCAAGGCGGUGACGGGUAGCCGGCCUGAGAGGGUGGACGGUCACACUGGGACUGAGACACGGCCCAGACUCCUACGG